GGAAGUGAAAGUCGUAACAAGGUCUCCGUUGGUGAACCAGCGGAGGGAUCAUUACAGGACUCGCAAGACUCCUACAACCCUGUGAACUUAACUAUAAGCACGUUGCUUCGGCGGGUGUCUCGGAGGGGGUUCUCCCUCCCCGAGACGCUAAACCCGCCGGCAGCCUACUAUACUCUGUCUCUUUGCGUUGGCAUCUCGAGUACAAUCAAACAAGUUAAAACUUUCAACAACGGAUCUCUUGGUUCUG
rnacentral:misc_RNA from 1 species